ACAACGCCUUUACAUUCUUCGUCUCAGAUAAACCCGAAAAGGGUCUCUCCACCACCGCUUCCUCUUCGGUCCUUUCUCCCUUUUGUUCUUUGUUUCUAUUUUACCCAGAUUCGAGAUGGAAACAACGAUAACGCUUAAGCUUCCUUCUUCGGUCCCUUCUCCCUUUUGUUCUUCCUUUGUAUUUUACCCAGAUUCGAGAUGGAAACAACGAUAACGCUUAAAUCAUAUGCCUUUAUGUCCGUUCAGACUUUCCACAAAGACGACUAUCAACCAUCGACUUCCGUCCGUCGCACCUCUUCUCCACCGCGUUGACUUCCCUUUUUUUGUGCGUGUGAAGAACUGAAAAUCUGUUUUCGAUCAGAGCUUUCUUCUGAGGUAUACACUUAUUGUAAAAUAGAGUCAAAAUGACAUCCUCCUCUAGAGAUUGUUGGCUAUAGCUCGACCUAUACGGGAGGUGUUUGCUGAAAUGAUCGACCACUAUUGAGGGAGGUGCAGGUGCAUCCCAUAUGAUAAAAGAAGGCGCUUUAGGUGAUUCGGAGGGCAUAUUUGGAAUGCAUGUUGAUUUUACAAUUCCUACAAGAACCAUUGCCACCCUUUCAGGACCUAUGUUAGAUGUUGUAUGCUUCUUUAAAGCUAAGAUAGAAGGUAAAGGUGGUCAUGCUACCGAACCUCACAACAGUGUGGACCCCAUGCUGCAUCAUCAACUGUUUUAGCCUUGCAACAAUUAAUCUCUAGAGAAUUAGAUCCCCUCCAAAGUGAAGUAGGUGUCUUUUUCUUUAUAGUAUUUACCGAUUUGCUCUUCGUUUCAGUAUGAUUUGUGUUCCACAACAAGAUGAUCUUAUAUACUCUUGAUUAGAUGACAUUUGACUAAUAUUCAAAUAAUUUUUCAAAUUCACGUCCUUGCCAUUACCAUAUUAGAGUUAGUAUAAUCUUACAGGGUAUCAUCAUAAUGAAUGUUCAAUAAAAUAAUUGGAAAUUUUAUCCAUGUAAUUAAGCUAGACAUGCUUUACGUCUAAAUACAUUUUUUCCUUCAAGGAUCUUAUGGUGGUUGUACUCAUAAUUUCACAAUGAUUCUUAUGUUGAUAGUUACAUAAGAGUACCAUUGGAGUUGAUUUCGUAAGUGUUCUCCCUCUAUCUCUUUAUGUGUGUGUGUAUGUGUAUGUGUUUUUGUUUACAUUAUCACACUAUGAUCAAGACUUCUUUUGAUUUUUGGGGUCUGCUAAAAUUACAAAUUCAUCCUUCAGAAAAUUAGGACUAUGGAGCUGGAUGGGAAGACGAUCAAGCUGGUGAUUUGGGAUACUGCUGGCCAGGAGUGGUUUCGUACUAUAACCAGUAGUUACCACAGAGAAGCCCAUGGGAUAAUCGUGGGUAUGCCACUCUUGAAGACCUUCUUGAAGUCAUAAUAUGGGCUCAAUUUAAAAUUCAUCAUAAGCCUAUAAAUUCCCGAAAAUACCCUUUUCUGAAUUUUGAAAACUAUUUACAAAAUUUGUACUUUUUGUAAAAUUUCGAAACUCUUCUAGGUUGUAUUGCUGGACGGCAAAACAGUUGAAAAAGGCUUCAUCAGCGCAAGUGUUCGCCACAUCAUGCUCCUACCGUUAAAGUUUUGGUUUGCAAAUUGGAGGUAAAACCCCCCAAAUCAUUGACUUUUUAGGUCAAAUAUAUGACUUUUUUAAAUCCGAAUUUGUUAUCCAUAUCUUAGAAAUUGAACAUGAAAUUCCUUCAACUUGUAGUACAUGUGAUAAAGUUAAGUGGGUUACUUCAGUCUUUUCGAAAAAGUUGCAUAUCUCAUGUGAUUGUAAUGUUGAUAUUUAAUUUGUUUGACUUUUUCUUUUGUCCCCACUGUUAAAUCUUUUGUAAGAAAAUAUUUGGAUUUUUUUUUUCCGAAAAUGACGUAAUACUUGGAGUAAAUUACUAAAAAUGGGCCCUAAUCUUUCUUAUUUUUACCCUGUUCAGUCAAAAAUUGAAACAUUUUCAUGGAAUCUUGAAAUAAGGAGCAAAACUGAAAAAAAAAGGUUUGAAUCUUGAACUAAACAUGUCAGAAAGCAUCAGGACUGCUUCUAUAGUUUAUUCUAAUGGAUUAUGUUUGUUUUUAGAAUCGAAUUUGUUGCGUAUGGUAGAAAUUGAAUUUUUUACAAUUAGAAUAGAAUUUUUUUUAUAUCAUUUUAGGUGCUGAAAAUACGCCUUUGUUGUGUAUGGUAGAAAUCUACAACGUUGUCAGGUAUGUUCAUUUUCUUAGUAUUUUUGAAUUAUAUGUGUUUUUUUUCUUGAUGUUUUUAGCUGAUACAUAGUUGUGUUUUUGUUAUGGUAUAGAUUUUGAUAGAUUGGGGUGCGAGUUUAAGCACUGAAAAUGCUAAUGGGUAUGAGUUUAAUGUACUUUUUAUGGUCUAAUAAAUAAAUCUAACUAUUAAUCAAAGAUAUGUGCCACUCCCAUGUUAUAUUUUAUAAGUAAACUUAAUAUGUAAAAAAAGCGUAUUUGCUCUUCAAAUUUCAAUGGUUCUUGGAUGAGAACUAUCAAUUGCUGAGACAUAUUCUUAUCAGAUGUUGUAUUUUUACAGGUUCAUAGGUUUGGCUUUUACCGAUUCAUAUGUCGUAUCUUGCAGGUUAUCCAACACUUUCUGAUGUUGAUACCCGCUGUUAUAUAUACGAACUUUUGAAGGUAACAAUCCCAAGAUUUUCCUUCUUUUCUUAAUGAUUUGGUAAGUGGGAUACACAUGAAGUGUCAUUUUGUAACUCAUGUUUUAGAAACUUAUUGUUUAUAAAAAGCUUCAUUAACAAAAUAGAAAACUCUGUUUCUGGAUUAUGAAGGUUCCCGUUUAUAUAAGCUAAGAUAGCACUUCAAAACAUGAGAUGGGCCUAGGCUCUGUGAAUUAGGUAAGUCUAUUCACGAAUUCAGUAUGUGAAUUAGGUCAAUCACUUCACUUACCAUCUAAAUAUGGAAAAUGCACCAAAAUGGCAAAGAAACAAUAAAAUCGAGAUAUUUGCAAUCACACCGACCUCACUAAAUCAUGUUUUGGUUUUGGUUUUGGUUUUUUUAGAUUAUGAAAUAAUUUGAAGAGUUUCGUUAGUAACCACCACCUACAAAUCACACAAAUCCCAUGUGAAAAAUACCAAAAUUGACAGCUGUUUUUCUCCGCCUUUCCUCUAUGAAACGUGUCUGCAUCCCCUUUUCUUUUAUCUCUUGCGUUAUUUCUUGGUGCUGCUAUGUUUAUCAUUGUUCUUCUCAAAUUUCAUGUUGUUUUAGGGUUCAACCUCUACACCACUAUCAAUUUGCGUUUUACAGGUAAGCAACCUUUGAUUUCAGAUUUUGAACUAACCUACAGUUGGAUAUUGAGGUAAUUUGGUGAGUCCUAAUAUCACUAAUAUGUUUUGAUUAAGCAAUUUAUACAUUCUCUACUCCACCGGACCACUGUUACUAGGUGCGAUCAUGUACAUUUAUGUUUUAUAUGAGAGAGAAGGAGAUGGAAGAGUAAUUCAGAUGCAAAGACUUGAAGUGGAAGGGAUGAGUAAGGAAAAUGGGAUGAAAUAGAAAUGUCACUGGUAUCGCACCUCCUUUCUCGCAAAAUAAUUCCCCAAGGCAUCAGCUAUGGGUUACAUAUAAUCUUAAAAAUCCCAAAAAAAAAAAAACAAAAUAUGCCAUAUUCCAAGUUUCCAUUUUUGACCUUUGCUGCGUGUUUGACUUUUAUAAUCAACUAUUAUGACAUUUAGGAAACUAUCUCUGAAACUUCCUAAGUAAUAAUUCAUUUUUGUCCCUUCAUUUAGAAUUUGAUGUAAUCCAAUAUUAUGUAAUCACUUGGUAAUGAAUGAAUAUCUUUUUAUCCAAA